rnacentral:tRNA from 1 species
GGAGAGGUGGCAGAGUUGGUCGAUAGCGCUCGCCUCGAAAGCGAGUAACGGAUAAAACCGUUCGUGGGUUCGAAUCCCACCCUCUCCG